UGCGGCCCAUAAAAAAAGGCAUAGCACCAAUUCGACCCUGAGCUUGGGAACUUCCAUAUGCCACACCUGCGGCCCUUAAAAACAGGUGUGCCCGGUGAUAGUGGUGGUGGGGUGGGUGUAAAUAAAUAGCUGAAAUGAGGAUGGCUGGGUGGGGGCAAAGAGGAGCAGGCGGGGAGGGCGCUGCAGUGGUCCCGGCAGGUGAGGUUGGCCCUGAGACUCGAUGGGGCCCUCGUGGUGGAGACGAGUGGCUGGAUCAGAGAAGCAGGACGGACUGGACUUGGCCUCAGAUCAGGUGUCGGUCCUGAGAGCACUCCCAGGAAACUGCCCACCCGCCUCUCCCCACUUCCUGCCGAGUUCCACCCGCCACAGCAACGGAGAGAGGAAGAGAGCAGCGUGGCCGCCGGAGUGGAUGCUCUCUGGACAAAGAGGGGAGCUGCAACCCUGGGGAGAUGUGUCUGCCUGCAGGAGAGAAGUUGAGCUCCAGUCCUUCUGUUCUGCCAUCUUCAUCCUGAAUAUCCUCGUGGGGUUCAAUCUUGAAGAAAAAAAAAAGAUCCCUUUAGGGAAUUGCCGUCAUGGCUCCGUGGUAACAAACCCGACUAGCACCCAUGAGGUUGAGGGUUCGAUCCCUGGCCCUGUUCAGU